CUAGGCCUUAUUUAUAGUGUCAGCUGGUAUGACAUAAAAUAACAACUAUACAAUAAUACCAUAAUACAUAGUUAAAUGGCUAAAGCAAAUAAAAUGAUCAAAAAUCAAUACAAAAAUUUAAACAAACAAGAAAAUACUACAAAAGAGUAAAAGUAAAAAAAGAAACAGGGAAAAAAAAAAAAAAAAAAAAAAACAGCAGUGAGAACACCCAGACAGCGGAGACAGAGACAGCAGAGACAGACACGGCAGUGCAAGACUAGACAAACACGCCUAGAAAAAGGACAAUACUAAUCGCAUUUUUUUUUUUUUCCAUUCUGGAAAAGUGGAUUAGAAUUUCUGAACUUCAGGAUGAAGAUCAUCACCAUCCUCUACCUGAUCUCAGGUCAGAUAUUCAACUCUAAUCACUGCUAAUACGACAGAAAGUGCAGUUAUUUAUUAUCGGUUGUUCUUGCAUUGGAAGCUAUAGUAGUUCUGUGUGCUACAGUUAUGUUUAUACUGCAAGAGUGAAGAGUACCGAAGGUUCUGUGAGGUUCUCGCAUGUGUGAGGUUUCUUUUCUGAUCGACAGGCCCAGUGUGCUGCUCUUAUGUGUUCGGCUAUUCAGGAGGAAGCGUCCUUUUAUUCCCUGAUCUGCAGUGGGAUGUAAAUGCACGGUAUAUUUGCAGGGUGGUACAAAGUGGUUGCGUAGAUAUAAUGAAGGAUCAGACUAAGAGCGAAGCUGCUACUAGCGGGAGGUUCAAGAUGUAUUCAAAUGUAGAUGGAGAAUUUCUACUGUUGAUCAGAGAGCUGAACCCACAGGAUUCUGCCGUGUACAGAUUUGGAGUUGGGAAGGAAAAGCAUAAGGACAUCAAGCUCACCGUUCAGAGUGAUUCUUGUUGUGGGGGAAUUAAAAGAAUGAAAGCUUACCUGGGAGAGACGGCCACCUUCAAAUGUAGCUAUCCAGAUGAGUUCAAGACAAACAGCAAGCGGUUAAUCAACCUCAAUAAUCAAAAUACUAUUAAAGACAUAAUUUACACUGUAGCAGAAUCUAAAAAGGAACAGAAAGGCAGAUUCUCCAUCUUUGAUGACAGAAGCUCUAAAGUCUUCAGUGUGAACAUCACUGACGUGACAGAAGAAGAUGGAGGAGUUUAUCUGUGUGCAG
ensembl:lncRNA